UACGUAGGCAGCGAGCGUUGUUCGGAGUUACUGGGCGUAAAGGGUGUGUAGGCGGUUGUUUAAGUUUGGUGUGAAAUCUCCCGGCUCAACUGGGAGGGUGCGCCGAAUACUGAAUGACUCGAGUGUGGGAGAGGUGAGUGGAAUUCCUGGUGUAGCGGUGAAAUGCGUAGAUAUCAGGAGGAACACCAGGUGGUCGUAAGGCA
rnacentral:rRNA from 1 species